GCAAGCAGAAGUCACGCAUUUCAUGUGUUGUGAAGCAAUGGUGAGGUUCAGAAAUACAAGCUGUCUAUGAAGAUAUGAGUUUUGAUCUCUGCAAAAUGGACAAUAGUGAAAACUAUCACUUUCCAACAGACACAGAGGAUGAUAUUUAUGUGAAUACAGAAGACUGUCGCUCAGAGCUGAAAAAAUCAGAUAUCUCUGACCGCACUGAGCUGAAAGACAAGAAGAAACCAGGAAAGAUCUUCAGAUCUGCUUUUGGUCUCCUCCUAAUACUUGGUGUUUUAUUAACACUCUGUGUUGUAGGGAUCCUUUGUAAGUGUUAAG